rnacentral:rRNA from 1 species
UACGUAGGUGGCAAGCGUUAUCCGGAAUUACUGGGCGUAAAGCGCACGCAGGCGGUUGGCUAAGUUUGACGUGAAAGCUCCUGGCUUAACUGGGAGAGGUCGUUGAAGACUGGCGAACUUGAGGCAAUGAGAGGGAUGUAGAAUUCACGGUGUAGUGGUGGAAUGCGUAGAUAUCGUGAGGAAUACCAGUGGCGAAGGCGACUACCUGGCCUGUUUCUUGACGCUGAGGCGCGAAAGCUAGGGGAGCAAACGGG